ACCAAUGGACGACCCACGUGCUAAAUGACCCACUGCUUUGCAGCAAGACUGUAAAAGAAGGCUGUGCUUUUAGACACACCCGAAGUGGUCCUCAAGACCUGUACGGCUUUCAACCCGGCUUCCCUUAUGCUGGGACCUGACCACAGUACGUCUACAGAACAUAGCUGUCCAGAUGCUUUUGAUCUUGUUCACUCCAGCAGAUCAGACCUGAAAAGAUUCUCCUGUUGAUGAUGCAGAUGACAAUUGCUUUACUGAUGGCAGCAGUUUCACGGUGAAGCGUAGGCUGUAGUCAGUCUAACCCAGACUAUUGAGGUCAAAGCCCUCCCAGCAAAUACGUCGGCCCAGAAAGCGGAGCGAAUAGCCCUCGUUCGUGCUUUACAACUGGCAAAGGGCCUCAGGAUUAAUAUCUAUACUGACUCUAACUAUGCCUUCCUAGCCCUACACACACACGGGGCAAUGUGGAAAGAGAGAGGGUUAUUAUCACGUCAUAACUCUCCCAUUAAAUACGGACCUGAACUAAUAGCCCUUUUAGAGGCGGUACACAUGCCUAAGAAGGUGGCUGUAAAUCACCUCAGGGGACGUCAUAAGGAAACGUCUAUGGAAUCUGGAGGAAAUAACCAAGUAGACCGUGCAGCCAGGCAAGCCACACGAAGCCUAGAAGACCUCGAACUUCUCUUCAAAUGACAAGAAAGGCUGCACUCGUCUUUCUCAUUCUCUUUCCCCCCGUUUAUACUGACGAUUCCCUCUUACCAUGGACACAACAUUAUGCCGAACCUCAAAGUCGAACGGCUGGCUAGAUAUGUAGAAUUCUGCCUGCAUCGAGCACAUUCGGUCAGCCUUGGUGGGUCUCCUCAUCACCGCACACAGAUUGGCGUUCCUUGUACGCCUGUGUCUCAGAUGUGACGCGUGACUCGAGGACCACUGUAUUUCGUGAUAGCUCUAUCACAAAACAAAAUGUUGCCCUCUGGCCUACCGUUAGUACCACCUGGAAUCUCCCAGGCCACAAUCAGAUCUCUUCAUACCCUCAAACCCUUAAGGUUCUGACUGGCUUCACUUGUCCACAAAUGAAUGGGCACAAGAGGGUGCCUAAAUUACAGACCCCAACUAAUCGGUAUACACAGGAAGGCAUGUAUCAAAUCUGGGACAAAUGCAUAUGGCUCACCCCCACAAUUGGACAGUUAAGGCAAAAAGCAAUUCUAUGCUGGGAACAGAGAAACCAUACUUAUGAUACAUGGGCAAACAGCACACGACGGUUAAGAAAUAUGUUCAUAAAUUAUUAUUCUUCAGGCCACUGAUGGGUUUGCUACUGACUGGAGAAGGAGGCCCAGAAUUAGGUGGCUGGUUCCUAAUAGAACCCAAUGGCUGUGCAGCUCUAAGCUAUGGGCAUGGCUUCUUCCAGGCUGCAGAGGUCACUGCACUCUGGGUUUUGUCUGAAAAAAUGGACAUGCCGUUAAAACCAUCCCAACCCAGCCAACCUUCCAAGUUCAAAACAACCGUGGACAUGUUCUACGUUUCAUUGGUAUGACCACCUAACAUGCGUCUUUGAUCCCUAUUUAGGACUAGAAGAUGUCAUUUGGCACAUGGAAAUCCUUCGUAAGUGCACAGUCAGAGCCCUACAUGACUCCCAACAUAGCAUGACCCUAUUAGAUACUGAAGUCACCACCUGCAUAAAGAACUUCUAUAAAACAGAACAGCACUGGAGGUUCUGACAGGAGCACAAGGAGCCGACAGAUGAUCCUUUCUACUCAAGGAGACUCAUACAUGUUGUCCACCUUGGAUUCAGCAGCCCCUGCCUUUCGAAAUUCCUACAUACUGACCAAUGUUGGCCUCUAGGAAGGGAUGUCUCUACACCCCUCGUUCAAGACAAAGAAGUUACGGAAGAUGAGACCUACCACCCCCGGCAACCUUAAAGAUUGAAGAGUCAAAAAUGUUCAGGAGGGGAAUGCGGAGGGGAACGAAAGCAAGGGAAAUGUAACCAAAAAAAAAAAAUCAUCUUACACGUGGCUCACUGAUGCACGUCUGAGACAGAUAGAACAUGGCAUCCGUAGGUGGUCUCAUGAGUAAUGUUUUACUAGAUAAUAAAGGGUAACCUUAUCUUGAUGAUAACCAGCCCUCUAAGGUCCUGUAAACCUCACUUUCAGCAGACACAAAUUCCUUAGAGACAUGCUACCCCUGACCCCCACCGACUAAAAAGCAUCGAAUCAGCCAGUCCCGUGAUUCCAGAGCAGCUCUUCCUGCCCAGGGUCCCGUCCCCGUGCUGUAAUAAAGACAGCCUUUUUUGCACCAAAAA